rnacentral:tRNA from 1 species
AGUUUAUGAACUUGUAUAAGUAUAUAUUUUGAAAAUAUAAAAAAGAAGCAUCAUCUUCUAUAAACUU